CCUACGGGGGGCUGCAGUGGGGAAUAUUGGGCAAUGGGCGAAAGCCUGACCCAGCGACGCCGCGUGGGGGAUGAAGGUCUUCGGAUCGUAAACCUCUGUCAGGAGGGGCGAACGUUUCAGGGUUAAUAACCCUGAAAUCUGACGGUACCUCCAAAGGAAGCCCCGGCUAACUCCGUGCCAGCAGCCGCGGUAAUACGGAGGGGGCAUGCGUUAUUCGGAAUUACUGGAGGUAAAGCGCUCGGUGGCAGGUGAAAUCCCUCGGCUUAACCGGGGAACGGCCUGCCAAACUGUCGCGCUUGAGGCUGGGAGGGGAGAGCGGAAUUCCUGGUGUAGCGGUGAAAUGCGUAGAUACCAGGAGGAACACCGGUGGCGAAGGCGGCUCUCUGGACCAGUUCUGACACUCAUGCGCGAAAGCGUGGGUAGCAAACAGGAUUAGAUACCCCAGUAGUC
rnacentral:rRNA from 1 species